UACUAGAGUAGCACUCGCAUAUCAAUAAGCGGAGGAAAAGAAACUAACUAGGAUUCCCUCAGUAACGGCGAGUGAAGCGGGAAGAGCUCAAAUUUGAAAUCUUCAAGGUUCUGACCUUGACGAAUUGUAGUUUAAAGAAGUGUUUUCGGUUAGGAGUUUGGUAAAAGUUCUUUGGAAUAGGACAUCAUAGAGGGUGAGAAUCCCGUAUUUGACCAUUAUUUCUAGCUUUGUGAUACACUUUCAAAGAGUCGGAUUGUUUGGGAAUGCAGUCCAAAAUGGGUGGUAAAUUUCAUCUAAAGCUAAAUACUGGCGAGAGACCGAUAGCGAACAAGUACCGUGAGGGAAAGAUGAAAAGAACUUUGAAAAGAGAGUUAAACAGUACGUGAAAUUGUCAAAAGGGAAGCGUUUGACACCAGUGUUGUUUUCUCGAAAAUCAAUUAAAAAUGGCGGGAUUUUGUGUUGUAUUGACUUUAUCAGCUUUCUGCACUUUUUUCCUGUCUUUUUUAAUGCACUUUUCGUUUAACAAGUCAACAUCAAUUUCUUUUGUUGUAAAAGGGUCAUUGGAAGGUGGCUUUCUUUUCGGAGAAAGUAUUUAUAGCCUUUGGCCUCUGCAAUCGAAGAGAUUGAGGUCUGCAGCGUAGAUCCUUCGGGGUUAGAUGCAUUUGUGCUAAGCUAUAGCCUUUCAUAGACAACUUGUUGACUAUGAUCAGUCAUGUAGCUUACUCGCUUAUGUCAUUUUACCUACGCUUAGGAUGUUGAAGAUGUAGCACAUCAU
rnacentral:rRNA from 1 species